rnacentral:rRNA from 1 species
UACGUAGGGGGCAAGCGUUGUCCGGAUUUAUUGGGCGUAAAGAGCGUGUAGGCGGCCAGACAGGUCCGUUGUGAAAACUCGAGGCUCAACCUCGAGACGCCGAUGGAAACUGUCUGGCUAGAGUCCGGAAGAGGAGAGUGGAAUUCCCGGUGUAGCGGUGAAAUGCGCAGAUAUCGGGAAGAACACCCGUGGCUAAGGCGGCUCUCUGGUACGGUACUGACGCUGAGACGCGAAAGCGUGGGGAGCGAACAGG